CGGCAGCACGGAGCUUGCUCUGGUGGCGAGUGGCNAACGGGUGAGUAAUAUAUCGGAACGUACCCUGGAGUGGGGGAUAACGUAGCGAAAGUUACGCNNAAUACCGCAUACGAUCUACGGAUGAAAGUGGGGGAUCGCAAGACCUCAUGCUCGUGGAGCGGCCGAUAUCUGAUUAGCUAGUUGGUAGGGUAAAAGCCUACCAAGGCAUCGAUCAGUAGCUGGUCUGAGAGGACGACCAGCCACACUGGAACUGAGACACGGUCCAGACUCCUACGGGAGGCAGCAGUGGGGAAUUUUGGACAAUGGGCGAAAGCCUGAUCCAGCAAUGCCGCGUGAGUGAAGAAGACCUUCGGGUUGUAAAGCUCUUUUGUCAGGGAAGAAACGGUGAGGGCUAAUAUCCCUUGCUAAUGACGGUACCUGAAGAAUAAGCACCGGCUAACUACGUGCCAGCAGCCGCGGUAAUACGUAGGGUGCAAGCGUUAAUCG
rnacentral:rRNA from 1 species